AUUGAGGUUCUCUCUUCCCAGAACCCUCUAACUUGUGCCUAAGUUGACAAAAAAUUAACCAACACAUUCCCUGAGGCACAUGGUAUUUCUAGCAUUGUUAGGAUCACAGCUUGGGACCUGGCAGUCCUAACACACUGGGCCACCCACCCUCAAUAGGUCAACUAACAAGUCACAGAGAAAGUGACUACAUUGAGAGGAGGAACAGAGGGUCCAGGGGGCCUCCAGGUCCACCUUGGAGGUCCUGCCGUGGUGUUUAUUUUUAAAUAGACAGCAAGAGGAAUUCAUAGCUGGGCAGUCUAGGUUGUUAGGAAUAAUGCAGUGGGCAACCUUGGCGGGUUCCAUGGCAGGUGAGGGUAACCAAGGCAGGGGACAAACAUGCCAGGCAGACAGAGCUUAAGUGAGCAGUUUUAUUAGAACGGGAAAGGGAGAGAGAGAAGAGGUAAAGAGACAGAGACAGAGAGGAAAGAAGAGAAGAGGGAGACAGAAAAAGUCCUGUCUGCCCCAGGAGAACAGCAGGAAAGAGAAUCGGAAAGAGAGGGUAAGCAGAUGGGGUCUGUCUUUUAAAGGGGUCCUUUGCACCUGUGCAGACUACACAACCAUGGAACCCUGGGCUGACCAGGGUAUUGCCUGAGUGCAUUCUGCCAGGUGACAGGGGCAGGCCAGCAUAAUGCCUGAAUCCUUAUACAGGUCAGGGUGUGGUCUAGCCUGACCUAUCACUGUCUCAAGUUCCUCUGGCAAGGUGUUCUGACGAGUCCUCAGAACUGUGUGAGAUCUCUUCCCAAGAGACAACUCCCCUCUGGCUGGCACCACGGUCUCAGUCUUUUUCUUCUCCCAGCAUGUGAUGCCAGGGAAAUUCCAGUUCUUCAGUGAGACCAUUGUAGGGAUCACAGCCUAUGAAUGGAGGCACCGAAUGUCUUCACAGCUGCCCAGACUCUUGCAUUAGUCCAGGCCACCCUCUACCUAGGCUCUCUCUGCUGAUGGGUUUCUCUGCCUCUCCCCAGAUCCAACAUGACUAGAAUCAUACCCACCCCCUUUCCUCACAUAAAAGGGAAUAUACACUCCAGAGACAUUUUCCACAUCCUCUCUGUUCUCAGGACAAUAGGACCACAGACCAUCUGCCCCCCUCAUCAAGGGAAGAAACUAAGAUCCCCCAGGUGAGGGCACAGAGGGUCCGGGGAGGGGGUUGGGUGUUCCAGUCUAUCCCUGGCAUAUGGUUAUCUUGAAGGUGGGCUCAUGGGGCGCUACCUCAUUGCCUUCCUUGGAUAUGGUGCCCUGAGAAGGAGGGGCCAGAUAAACUUUCCCAAAAUCAUUGAUGGGAAGGUUCCAGGAAAGUUAGUGGCCUUGAGUGUUAGCUUAGACACAAUGACCAUCACAUAAUCACUGACCCAGGGUUCCAGAGAGUUUUGCUGGUUCCCAGGACUCAGAAGAUGAAAUGAAGGUGGUCACUGGGCUAGAUCUCAAAGGUCCCCCACUUCAGUGAGCCUAUAUACCACCGUCUCUACCCAAGACCCUACACUGAACAACCCUCCUCACCCCUGUACACUGAGGGAGUGGGUGGUGUCACUCCUCAUUUAUUCCUCUUCCUCUAAGGAGCCAUCGAGGUUACUCAAUAAACAUUUACUGAAUAGAUCUUCUGCUGGAUAGGCACUAGGGAGCAUGGAUGAACUCACAAGUUUUUAUUCCACCCCUGGAGUAGCUAAUUGUCUGGGGCCCAGAAAGAAGGAAUGUUCAGACCCAAGAAGAUAUGUCAUUAGGGUCCCAGGAAGAGUUCCAAAACAGCUGAGGCCUAUUCUGCACCCCCCUAUACCUGCUUGUGUCUCCUGGUGACUGUCUGAGGGCUUGAGGUUUCUCCUAAAUAACUUUAUUAACUUCAUGGUGAAUGUUUGGUUUGCAGAAGGGAGAUCUGAAAUGUUACUCAUUGCAGAGCAAGGACACCGAGUUCCAGGCAGUCGGUGUAAAUGCAUUCUCAGUUACUGAUUGACAGGCCUUUCUGGGGGGACAAACAGAGAGAGAAUUCACCAUGCUCCUUCCUAGCUCCUUCCUCUGCUUCUCCAGGUGUCUUUGUGCCUGCUUUCUAGCCGGUGUGUACACGUGGCUGUGUACAUCUAGCUGCGCAUUAAGAACAACUAACGACCCUGUGUUCGGAAGAGAAUUCCCUUCAACUCCAACUUUCCCUUCAAAGUCACCACUCCUUGACUUUUAGACUGAAACUUAGAACUUCUGCCUCCUCUUUUGUUUUGACAGUCAGGGACACAGUAGGCUCAGGGACAAGGCUCCUAGGAAAGCCAGUUUCAGUUUCCAGAGUGUGGUCUGCGACCUGCAGAGCUUCAACAGCCUGAGUCACCAGCUGCUGCCUUCGCUGGGAACUUCCCACCCUCCUCUGUCACCUACCACCUGGCUCACACAGGCAUUCCUCCAAGUAACACCAAAAGGCUCUUCCAGGAAGCAGCAGCAAGAAGUUCUCAAAACAGGGAAGGAAGUUUAGAGACGUAAAGAUGGCAACAGCACUAUGGAAUUAUAGGAGGGUCACACUGGGCAGCCCAACAGGCUUGGAGAAACACACUUGCCAAAUGGGACCUGAAGAGUGGCCCUGGCCCCUGGGCCUCCCAGAUGUGAGGCCCAUGACAACUGGGCACCCCCACCAUAACCUGUGUCCUAUUGCUAUCUCUCUUGUCCCACCAGUGUCUGGCUGAAACACUGGGUACUAAGGUUCCAAAUUCUAAGUAGGAUUUUUUUUUUCCAGCCCCUUGGCUAUUCAACUGCAACAACACAAAGCAUUCCCAGUCCAGGAUUCCUUGUGUAUCCUGAGACUGGGAGGGGACCUGAGUCUCCAGAAUCUAAGGCUAGGACAGUUCUCACUUGCAGCCCAUGUUUCAGUGCCACUCUCCUACCACACCUGACUGUGGAUGCUAUGUCCCCUACCCUGAUGCCCAAGCUGAUCCAUCUUGCAGAUUGGAACAGCAGAGCCGAGCCGCCAUGACAUUCACCAAGUGGGGCGUCUGUCAAGCCAAUGAUGAACAGUCUCAUGGUGAAGGUUGGGGUACCAUCACCUCAACUGCAGUUCAGAGCUUGACCACCUGGGGUGCACCUCUGGGGGGAGGGGAUUCAUCGCCCCAGCAGUGGCACUCCAUCCCCGAGCAAGGUAUUGGGGGAGAGGGGACUCGGUCCUUUCUCUGCCCUAGGACCCAUCUGUCCAAGGAGGCCCUCGUUUUGCUGUGUGGGUAGGAUCAGCAGCAGAGCUACUCAAAGCAAAUCUUUUGGGUCUCCCUCUUCCUUACUGAACCGGGAGAACCCAGAACUGCUGGGGUGAGGCGGGGGGUGAUCCCGCAAUCUGACGAGCUUUUAGAAAAACUGGAGGCCUGUACAAGGAGUCCUCACACUCCAAAUGGCCCAGCCCAGUCCGGCUUCUGAUAGGGAAGCCAAAUCCAAACAGGUCAGGGCCCCUUUCCCAAUGGUCUCAUUGCCCUUACCCUGGGUGUCCCAUUCUUGGGUGUUAAUGAGUUUGGAAGGGGGCAUCUGGAGAUGGGAAUAGGAUCAUGAUGACAACUCAAGCUGUGCGGUCUGAGGCUUCGUGAAAAGGAGUCCGGAGCUUUCCCGGGAAAUCAGGAAUAGGCCAGCGAUUCAGCAUUUGCAAUUUUAGGUGACUCUGAGAAGGUCGUGUGCUCCCUCUGGUGGUAGGAAGAGGAAUUGCACGCUAAGGCAGCUGGGUCUCCGUGAGGCCAGGGUCACUUUGAAGACUUGGUUUGUAUUCUGUAAUUUAGCACAGCUCUGCUGUGUGGAAAACCUCAGAGUGAAGGGUAAGUUCAGUCACUCUCAGUGUGUGAACUUCACGGAGAGUGAAGGGGGAUGUCCUGGCCCAGGGGAAGGUCAUAGAAUCAGAAUGUCCCUGGAGCAGUGUUCCUCAAGCCUGGUCUGGCUCACUGAGCCUCAGCCUGGGUAAUGCUGGCAGAGGGCAUGGGGAAAGGAGGACAGGCUCACCAGCUAAUCGCAUGCUUGUGCCCAUCAGUCCCUGCUCAAGGAUGACAUACGGUUAGGCCCAGGUUUGGCAAAGGCCCCAAGGUCCACCUCCUGUGUGCCAGUCUGGCCACUUAGAGAACAGAGCAGGAGACAUGGUGCAGGCUGAGGGAGAAGUGACUCAUUCAAGACCAUUUAAGUGAUGGGCCGAUGGAUAGAACAUUCUGGAAAUGUGACUCCUUUCCAGGCUUCCCACUUCUCUCUCGUGAACCACAGACCUUGAAUACCUCUUCCUAUCUGCCUUGACCCUGCAUCCAGAAACCUUGAAGAGGUUGGUUCCUCCCCCACCCUAACCCUGGCCAGAUCUCCAGCUCUGCUUAUUCUUUCCACCCUCUAGAGGGAGCUCAAGCAUAGCAGAACCAAGUUCUACUUAAGGGCGUGAGGUCACAUUUUGUCAGUGGUGUGAUACUGAGUCUAGUAACCAGACUUUACCUAGUUGGCUACUGCUCUCAGCUGGCAUCUCCUCCCCAGGCUUCCCUAUGUCUUAGCUUUCAGGACAAAAGGCAAGCAGGGUGUUACCCUGUCUAGACAAGUGACUGCCUUUCUUGGGGGGUGGGGUGGGGGAGGGGCUCAGUGUCCCCUUCCAUACAAUGGAAAUGUUCUCAAAGGACUAUCUGCAGUUACCUGUGGGUGGGUGGGCCUCAGAGCCUAGGGGCAGUGGAUUAGGACAGAAGGCUUAAGUACCAAGUGAAAUGGCCUGUCCACCCUGACUGUACAGUCCACCCAAACAGUCUUUCAAAAGCCAUCACCCAGGGUUCUGCUCUGAUACCCUGAGAUGCAGAUAAGGAAGCCAGAUGGUGCCUGUAUCCUGCCAGCCCUCCAGUCUCCUUGGAGAGCUCAUGGGAAUGGUGGGAGAGGGAGUUGGACCCCUUUGUAGGUCUCUGCCACAGAUGGACAAGGCCAAAGGAAGCAAGUAACAGUGAACUCACUUACUGUUCACUUCUGGCCCAGGGAUGAAGCAAGCCAACACCCAAUUCUCUGGGUAAGAGUGGGUCCAGCUGGAGUCCCUUGGACCCCACCCACCCUAGGAAGGGUGAUUGACGGAUUGCGGGAAGUAUGAACUGAAGCCCAGCACUGGGCUUUCAGACUCACCCACCUUGGACAUCAGUGCACCUUGGGAAAACCCAUGAAUGUGGCCACAGACAGCGACCUCUUGGGUGGCCAAGAGCACCCGACAAGCAAGUUCCCCAUGGGAGUACCCAGGCUUCAACAGCCUCCAGCAGGGCCCCACAGACCCAGUCACCUUCAACUUGACACCUUCAGACUUCUGCAUAGCUCCUGAAGUCAGGCAGAGGUCUCUGUCCCCAACGAUUCAGGGGUGAAUGAUGAAGGGCCCAUAGAUGAUCAUACCAAGCCUGUUUUCAUUGGCAGGUACUUGCUAGAGUGAUUCAUUGAAAACCAGUGAGAUGAGGCUGCAUGCACAUGUACCCCAACUUGGAGCAGGAAGUGGGAUGUUAGAAGAGUUGGGGAGGGGAGGAAGGAAGUUAAGGAUCAAGAGGCAUGAGUGGAUGACCAUGAGGGGGUCAUAGUGAGCCCGACGCGUCCUUCAUCAUGAAUACAGACUGUGAUAUCACAGACAGUGGAGCACAGCUGGGGACGAUGGAUAGAUAUCCUUGGUGCCUGCGCACUGGUGGGCACUGGCAGCUCUGGAAAGACAAAGGCAGUGUUUAAGCUGGGAGGGAGGCCUCUGGGGCUGGCAGUUUUGUCCCUGUUCCUCUAAUUAUUCCUAGGGAUCCCUCUGCAAUGUCCCUACUCCUCGAAUCCUACUUCCAACACUUGGUCCUCAAUUUAAAACAUUAUUGGGGGCAGCCCACCCGAC
rnacentral:lncRNA from 1 species